GGAAAGAUAAUUAUCUAUUAUAAAAAAGAAAAUGGGGACCUUUGAUUUAAAAGAGAAUAAAUCUAAAAGUGAAAAAAUCAUCUCCUAUUGUGGGGGACCUAUGAGGGUUCCCCACCCUAGCCUGAGCCAUGCCUGAGUCUAUGAAAUUCUUAUUUCUAAUUGAUUGUUUGCCAACUUUCAUUUUAAUAAAAACUGGUUUUCCUUCAGGAAUGAAGGACCUGUUUGCUUUAGACUUUGGUGACUCCACAGUGACAUAUGGCCUUCCUGAAUUGAUUCUAAGUCAAGAUUGGUAUAGCUUAUUUUGGGAGAAAUACUAGCUUAUUUCUUAAACUCUCUCAUGAAGCGGGCAAAAAUAAGUAAUUAUUCCUUUAAGUAAAUUGAACCAAACACUCACUAAUCGUAAUUGAUCAAGUUUCUCAAGCUCCCAUUUUUAAUGCUAUAGAAACAGAUUUAGGUAAAGUAAAACUUUGUUGCCUUGGUGAGUAGAACUUGCAUGUGUUCUAUACCCACACUCUUUAUUUAUAAUUACGGAUUAGGGUAGAAUGAAUCAAUCAUGGAUACGAAAAAUCAAUCUAAUCCCUAAUUUGUGGUAAUGGAUACUCUUUACAUGAU
rnacentral:lncRNA from 1 species